rnacentral:rRNA from 1 species
UACGUAGGGCGCAAGCGUUGUCCGGAAUUAUUGGGCGUAAAGAGCUCGUAGGCGGCUUGUCACGUCGGGUGUGAAAGCCCGGGGCUUAACCCCGGGUCUGCAUUCGAUACGGGCUAGCUAGAGUGUGGUAGGGGAGAUCGGAAUUCCUGGUGUAGCGGUGAAAUGCGCAGAUAUCAGGAGGAACACCGGUGGCGAAGGCGGAUCUCUGGGCCAUUACUGACGCUGAGGAGCGAAAGCUAGGGGAGCGAACAGG